rnacentral:rRNA from 1 species
AGAGACAGCAGUCGCCGCGGUAACACGUAUGGGGCGAGCGUUGUCCGGAAUUAUUGGGCGUAAAGGGUACGUAGGCGGUUUUUUAAGUCAGGUGUGAAAGCGUGAGGCUUAACCUCAUUAAGCACUUGAAACUGGAAGACUUGAGUGAAGGAGAGGAAAGUGGAAUUCCUAGUGUAGCGGUGAAAUGCGUAGAUAUUAGGAGGAAUACCGGUGGCGAAGGCGACUUUCUGGACUUUUACUGACGCUCAGGUACGAAAGCGUGGGGAGCAAACAGGAUUAGAUACCCCGGUAGUCCCUGUCUCUUAUACA